UACGUAGGGGGCAAGCGUUGUCCGGAAUCAUUGGGCGUAAAGCGCGUGUAGGCGGCCCGGUAAGUCCGCUGUGAAAGUCCAGGGCUCAACCCUGGGAUGCCGGUGGAUACUGUCGGGCUCGAGUCCGGAAGAGGCGAGUGGAAUUCCUGGUGUAGCGGUGGAAUGCGCAGAUAUCAGGAGGAACACCAACGGCGAAGGCAGCUCGCUGGGACGGUACUGACGCUAAGGCGCGAAAGCGUGGGGAGCGAACAGG
rnacentral:rRNA from 1 species